GCGGGCGUAGCAAUACGUCAGCGGCAGACGGGUGAGUAACGCGUGGGAACGUACCUUUUGGUUCGGAACAACCCAGGGAAACUUGGGCUAAUACCGGAUAAGCCCUUACGGGGAAAGAUUUAUCGCCGAAAGAUCGGCCCGCGUCUGAUUAGCUAGUUGGUGAGGUAACGGCUCACCAAGGCGACGAUCGGUAGCUGGUCUGAGAGGACGAGCAGCCACACUGGGAUUGAGAACGGCCCAGACUCCUACGGGGGGCAGCAGUGAGGAAUCUUCGGCAAUGGGCGAAAGCCUGACCGAGCGACGCCGCGUGCGGGAAGACGGCCUUCGGG
rnacentral:rRNA from 1 species